rnacentral:rRNA from 1 species
GACGAACGCUGGCGGCGUGCUUAACACAUGCAAGUCGAACGGAAAGGCCCUGCUUGCAGGGUACUCGAGUGGCGAACGGGCGAGUAACACGUGGGUGAUCUGCCCUGCACUUCGGGAUAAGCUUGGGAAACUGGGCCUAAUACCGGAUAGGACCGCACUUUAGUGUGUGUGGUGGAAAGUUUUUUCGGUGUAGGAUGUGCUCGCGGCCUAUCAGCUCGUUGGUGGGGUAAUGGCCUACCAUGGCGGCGACGGGUAGCCGGCCUGAGAGGGUGUACGGCCACAUUGGGACUGAGAGACAGGCCAGACUCCGACGGGAGGCAGAAGUGGGGAAUAUUGCACAAUGGGCGCAAGCCUGAGGCAGCGAGGCCGCGUGGGGGAUGAAGGCCUUCGGGUUGUAAACUCCUUUCGCUAGGGACGAAGCUUUGUUGUGACGGUACCUAGAUAAGAAGCACCGGCUAACUACGUG